CGAGAGGAGGUUUACUUUCUCAAGCGAGUGGCGAACGGGUGAGUAACGCGUGAGGAACCUGCCUCAAAGAGGGGGACAACAGUUGGAAACGACUGCUAAUACCGCAUAAGCCCACGACCCGGCAUCGGGUAGAGGGAAAAGGAGCAAUCCGCUUUGAGAUGGCCUCGCGUCCGAUUAGCUAGUUGGUGAGGUAAUGGCCCACCAAGGCGACGAUCGGUAGCCGGACUGAGAGGUUGAACGGCCACAUUGGGACUGAGACACGGCCCAGACUCCUACGGGAGGCAGCAGUGGGGAAUAUUGCACAAUGGGGGAAACCCUGAUGCAGCGACGCCGCGUGGAGGAAGAAGGUCUUCGGAUUGUAAACUCCUGUUGUUGAGGAAGAUAAUGACGGUACUCAACAAGGAAGUGACGGCUAACUACGUGCCAGCAGCCGCGGUAAAACGUAGGUCACAAGCGUUGUCCGGAAUUACUGGGUGUAAAGGGAGCGCAGGCGGGAAGACAAGUUGGAAGUGAAAUCCAUGGGCUCAACCCAUGAACUGCUUUCAAAACUGUUUUUCUUGAGUAGUGCAGAGGUAGGCGGAAUUCCCGGUGUAGCGGUGGAAUGCGUAGAUAUCGGGAGGAACACCAGUGGCGAAGGCGGCCUACUGGGCACCAACUGACGCUGAGGCUCGAAAGUGUGGGUAGCAAACAGG
rnacentral:rRNA from 1 species